rnacentral:misc_RNA from 1 species
CAUAAAACAUAAUUUUCUUCAACAAAUAAGCAAAGAACACCAAAAAAAGGAAAAAAAAUAAAUAACUCAUCUUUUGCAAGAUAUGGAUGUGUAGAACUAGAAAGAUAGUUUAUGAUCUUAGCUUAAGAAUGGAGUGUGAGAUUUGUCGAAAGAUAAAAAAUUUUAAAUGGAAAAUGGGGAGAGAAAGUGAGAUAUAGCAUCUUAAAACUAAGGAAGAGCUACUGCCCCCAUUU